AGUGAACGCUGGCGGUAGGCCUAACACAUGCAAGUCGAACGGCAGCACAGUAAGAGCUUGCUCUUACGGGUGGCGAGUGGCGGACGGGUGAGGAAUACAUCGGAAUCUACUUUUUCGUGGGGGAUAACGUAGGGAAACUUACGCUAAUACCGCAUACGACCUACGGGUGAAAGCAGGGGAUCUUCAGACCUUGCGCGAUUGAAUGAGCCGAUGUCGGAUUAGCUAGUUGGCGGGGUAAAGGCCCACCAAGGCGACGAUCCGUAGCUGGUCUGAGAGGAUGAUCAGCCACACUGGAACUGAGACACGGUCCAGACUCCUACGGGAGGCAGCAGUGGGGAAUACUGGACAAUGGGCGCAAGCCUGAUCCAGCCAUACCGCGUGGGUGAAGAAGGCCUUCGGGUUGUAAAGCCCUUUUGUUGGGAAAGAAAAGCAGCAGGUUAAUACCCCGCUGUUCUGACGGUACCCAAAGAAUAAGCACCGGCUAACUUCGUG
rnacentral:rRNA from 1 species